GAAAUAUAUCUCAUCGAUAAAUUUUGCGUUUAAAUAAAGACCAAUAUUGAUCUUUGAGAGGCGAGUUAGGUGGUUGAAAUUCGCAAUUGCACGCUUGAGGUUACCCAACCUGAUGUGUCAAUGUCCACAAAAAUACAGGAAUGGUUGUUUGUUUUGCAGUGAAGUGCACUUUUUCUCCGGAAUUUCCUUUCUUGCAGUGUCGACUUAAAUCGGGUUUUGUUCGGUUUUAUGAAAGUGACGAAGGAUACAUAGCUACAAUGCACGUAUGUUUAUCAAAUGGUUUGAUUGUGUCUGCAAAGGGACAGCAGUAAGUUUGCCAACUGCCAUCAUGGGGACAAGAUUGUUGCUCCCUAAGAUUGUUUCAGGAUUUUUUCGAAGGACUUAAAUGUUCCAAAAGGACCUGGAAAUAUAAAGAAGGUUGCAACUCAAAAUUAUUGACAAGGAUUAACGUUCUCUAUUUGAAGUCAUCUCAUCAACUUUGUACGGCCUGGAUCAAGAUCUUACUGUGUGUCCAUCAUCAUGACAACCCCAGAAGACGAGGCUAUUCGGAUUUCAGGUGAGUUGGUCUCUCAAAUUCUACUUCUGUUUUUCAGUAUUUAACAUAC
rnacentral:lncRNA from 1 species